CAGAGGGUGCAAACGUUGCUCGGAUUUACUGGGCGUAAAGCGCAUGUAGGCGGGCGAUUAAGUCGGGUGUGAAAUCCCUGGGCUCAACCUAGGAACUGCAUCCGAAACUGAUCACCUUGAGUAGUGGAGAGGAAAGCGGAAUUCCGGGUGUAGAGGUGAAAUUCGUAGAUAUCCGGAGGAACACCAGUGGCGAAGGCGGCUUUCUGGACACUAACUGACGCUGAGAUGCGAAAGCGUGGGGAGCAAACAGGAUUAGAUACCCUGGUAGUCCACGCCGUAAACGAUGAGUGCUGGGUGUCUUGGGUAUUGACCCCCGAGGCGCCGUAGCUAACGCGUUAAGCACUCCGCCUGGGGAGUACGGUCGCAAGACUA
rnacentral:rRNA from 1 species